UUGACUAUGGGAUGGUAAAAGUCUGAAGACUCCCCGCCCUUCAAUAAGGGGAGAACAUAAGGUGUUUUCCAGAUUUUAAGAAUGGUAGUAGUCUGGAGGCUCUGAUUACAAAUGUAAGCAAUAGGCUCAGGCAAUAAAACCAGCUGCAAGCUUUAAGAGGUAGGAUACAGUUUGUCUGGUCUAGGUUAGGUUUUUGGAUCAAUGACUUUCAAAGCUUUGUAGAUCUCUACUUUGAAAAUAGGACUGAAAAACAAAAGGGUCCCUGGGUGCAUCAAUACAAGCUCAAGGUGUCACAACAUUGCAGUUAGAUCUUCAGGACCCUAGCACGUGACACUCGGCCCACCCUCACAGUGUUUCCCCUCUCCAGUGUGGAGCUGCAGCAGGGGGAGGCUACACUGGUGUGUUUGGCCAACAAGGGCUACCCGUCAGACUGGACACUGGGCUGGAAGGUGGACGGUAUCAGCCGGACAUCAGGUGUGAGUAUAUCAUCAGUGUAGUACACAACCAGCAGUACACUAACCACUGAAAGUGUACUGUACUCACAAACAUCUUAGUCUGCACUAUAGUUUAGGAUGCAUUCAAUGCCUUAAAGAUGUGCUUUACUAUGUUUGUCAAAUAAAAGCUUUUCGAAUCAAAAAGAAAUUAAACUAUAUUAAAAAAUAAUAGACAAAGUGUACAAAUUUGAAUUUCACACCAUAAACAUAUUCAGACCUCCUGACACAGCUGUGUCUAUGUCUAUAUUUCUCUACUGUAGUUCUUGCUUGUGUUUGUGUUUGGCUGCAGGAGAUUAUAGGGUGUUAAAAACAAAUGUAUUGAGUGUGAAUGGUGUGUUAGCCCAUGCAGCUAACAUCAAUUGUGGGUUAAGGUAUUUCUGAAGAUUAAGGAGAGGUGUAACGAGUGGGUGUGUGAUAGUGAAGUCAUUUUAGUUCACAGCAUAUUUAUGCUGAUUGCAAGUCUAUUACUCAGCAUUUUCAUUAAUUAGCAUAUUUAUACUGAUUGCAUGUCUUUGCUACAUAAGCACAUGACUUAAUCUGCUGCUGACAUGAUUCUGUACUACUGCUUGAUCAUGAUAUCUAGUUCAGGUUAUUGCCUUUGUGUAUUCAGUCUGAGCUGAUCAUCAGAUAGUACUGUAAGUGUGAACUGUAUCAGUGAAUUUGAAAUAACAGACCUUUACAAAGUUUUCUAAUGAUGUAAAAUGAGACUCUGGUUUGUUUUUAAAGUUCAUCUAUAGUCUCUGAGUUACAAAUGCUUGAAUUUCUAAAUGCUCACUUGAGAAGAGAUGAUGCACAACUUUAAGCGAAUGAAGACGUCCAUAAAAUUAAUGUGUGUGUGUGUGUGUGUGUGUGUGUGUGUAUGCACUUAGUUGUCUCCAAAGUGAGUUAUCUUCCCCUUCAGCACCUGCAGCUGCAGCAGUGUACAGUCUGACUGAAGGAGGUUUUUGUAUGAUGAUUUUUUCACUGUGUGAACACAUGCACUUUGUUUGUGGAGGUUCCAGUGUUGUGUUUACUCUGACAGUAAUAAACUCCUGAAUCUUCAGGCUGGACUUCACUGAUGGUCAAAGAGAAGUCAACCUCAUUUCCGCUUGUACUUCCACUGAAUCUAGAAGAAACUCCAGAUGCUCUGACAUCAAUAUAAUACAUUAGGAGUUUAGGAGCUUCACCAGGGAUCUGAUGAUACCAGGAUAUGCAUUCUUUUUUUUCUUCUUGAUUAUUUAUACAAUUAGAUAUAGGAUGAUGGUUGCAGGUAAUAGUGACAGUUUUACCAGCCUGUACUGUCUGAUCUCCAGACUGAGUCAACACAACCUGCCCUAAAGAGUCUGUAUAGAAGAGAGGGAGAGAGAGAGAGAGAGAGAGAGAGAGAUUCAAGUGUUCAUAACUUUGUAAUUUAACAAUUGUUUCAUAAUUUAACUAUUUAAAUUCAUAAGUUAAUACUUGUACAUCACUGCGUUUCUUGCCUGAUUUAAUUGUGUAUAAAUUAAAGCAGAGUUAUUAUAGACAGAGAGAGAGAGAGAGAGAGAGAGAGAGAGACUGCAUUAAUACAGAUUAUUAAAGAAGAUGACCUGUCUUUGUCUGAGGUAGACAGUUUGAGAUAUCAUUAAAGACCUUUUAUUCUCCUCAACAAAAAACAAAAAUGAACGUUGAAAACACAAACUUAUCAUUUAAAAGAACUGCAUGUUACUAUAAUGUUUUACUGAAUUCAAGUUUCAAUUUACUUUAAUAAUCACCACUGAAAUGUGAUGCUUUCUUACCCGAGCUGCAGGUGAUGAUCAUCCAGAUGAAGAUGCUGAUUAAAGUCAUGAUGGCUUUUUGAUGUGUGAUCAUGUAGAUCAGCUCUCAGUCAUGAAGUGUUAAACUGACAGAGCUAUAAACUCUCCCAGAGCACUGAAGCAUGAGCUGCUAAUGCAAAGUGUCUUCAGCAUGAAAAUCAUCUUCCUGACUGCAGAAAACAAAACCGAGUAGUCAAACUGAUGAUACCUGAACAGUCAAAUGACCAGCUACUGAUUAUAAGGCAGCACAAGUGAAGGCCAGCUACUAGACUUGCCUCAGUGCUGCAGUACAGGUACUUGUGCUGACUUAUAAUCACUAAAUGGUGACCUGAUGUCACAACUUUCACCACAUUGUGCUGCUGUACAAUGAGACACAGAACAAUGUUUAUUUGUUUGUAUAACUUUUAAACAGCUGCACUAAAACAAUGUCCAAACACUGUAGUGCACAAAGCAAAAUAAUAAUAAUAAUAAUAAUUCCUCGAAAGAGAAUCUUUGUGAUUGAGGUGCAAACCUGACAUGAUCAAAUAUUUGGAAGUUCCAUCAGGUCUUCUGGACACAUGCCACAUUCACACAUACACACAGAGUGACUGGGAGUCAUGUAAAGUAGAAGUAUGGCGACACAGAGGAAACCACACAACUAAAGCUCAUUUGAGCAUUUAAAAAUAAUAGAAUGAAAAUGUUGGUUGUGUGAAACACACAGGCAUCAAGUUUUAGGUUUGCUCAUACAUGCCAAAGCAAUUUAAUUGUUGUUGUCACGCCCAUGGGCGAUACUAGGAAUCAGUCUUCUAACAUGAGCUCCAUUACCCAGAACACCCUGCAGGAAACCCAGGUUCCUGGAACCAAUCAAAGGACUUGCACCCGCUCACCCGAGUACUGAUGAAACACACCUGUGUUGUUCCUUGUUUAAGCUCUGUGUUUGCCUAGUCUCUUUGCGAAGUAUUGCCAGUUCACCUGUCUUACCGAGCAUUAUUCUAAUAUUGCUAGCUUUUGUGUUUUGGCCCUGUUUUGUCUUCCGACCUUGUUUUUUUGCCUUGUCCUGUUUAUGUUUGCUAUUUUGGUAUUCACGACCUGGACUGUUUUCGACCACUCUUUUGGAAUUGCCCUCAACAACAAAGCUCACCUUUUACCCUCAUGUCCGCGAGUGUCUGAUCUGAGACUGGCCCUGACAGUUGUAUGAGGAAAACAUUGGUUAAGGUAAAGGUUUAGAUAACGAAUGACAUGGAUGUCACUUCAGUUUCCUCAUGUACUUGGACUGCAACAUCUUACAACAAUAGAAAGUUUCAUUUCAGUUUUUGUUUCCUGUUUACUUUUUACAUUUAUGACAUAAAUGACAUUGUGGCAGAUGCUGUGAUCCAAAAUGAGUAGUCUUGUUCAGUGAUUCUUAUUUGUAUAGCAUUGUGUACUUGCCCAGAUGGGAAACUGAACUACCACAAUGAAGACAGUGAUGCUACCCAGUGAUGUAUUGGUUGUGACAUAGAAUUUAUUAUAAACUAUCUAUAUCUUCUCUGACAGUGCUCUCGAAUGUAAUGUAUUUGCUUUUAUUCUUGAGAGUACCAAUUGUUUUAAAAUGCAGUGUGAAAAUGAACAAAUAAAACAAAAAGAUCAUUCAGCCUGAAA